rnacentral:rRNA from 1 species
UACGUAGGGUGCAAGCGUUGCCCGGAUUUAUUGGGCGUAAAGGGCGCGUAGGCGGCUCUGCACGUCCGUUGUGAAAUCGCCCGGCUCAACUGGGCGGGGUCAGCGGAUACGGCAGAGCUUGAGCAAGCUAGGGGGCAAUGGAAUUCCCGGUGUAGUGGUGGAAUGCGUAGAUAUCGGGAGGAACACCGGUGGCGAAGGCGGCGAUCUGGGUAGAUACUGACGCUGAGGUGCGAAAGCGUGGGGAGCAAACAGG